rnacentral:misc_RNA from 1 species
CUUGGUCAUUUAGAGGAAGUAAAAGUCGUAACAAGGUUUCCGUAGGUGAACCUGCGGAAGGAUCAUUCAUAAUCAAGUGUUUUUAUGGCACUUUCAAAAAUCCAUAUCCACCUUGUGUGCAAUGUCAUCUCACUGGGGGCCACCGGCUGUCAAAAGCCGUCUGGUCACCUUUGGGAUUUAUAUCUACUCAGAACUUUAGUGAUUUUGUCUGAAACAUAUUAUGAAUACUUAAUUCAAAAUACAACUUUCAACAACGGAUCUCUUGGCUCUCGCAUCGAUGAAGAACGCAGCGAAAUGCGAUAAGUAGUGUGAAUUGCAGAAUUCAGUGAAUCAUCGAAUCUUUGAACGCACAUUGCGCCUCCUGGUAUUCCGGGAGGCAUGCCUGUUCGAGCGUCAUUAAAAACCACUCAAGCUCUUUUGCUUGGUCAUGGAAGAUGAGUGAGCUUGUCUCUCUCCCUUUCGAAAUUCAAAGGCGGAAAGCCCCAUGUGCACCGGCGUAGUAAGUUUUCUUUCGCUUUGGCCAUGAGGUGAUCCUGCCCCAAACCCCCAAUUUUUCUAGGUUGACCUCGGAUCAGGUAGGGAUACCCGCUGAACUUAAGCAUAUCAAUAAGCGGAGGA